ACUAUCAUUUUUAAAUAAAAGCAACGUGUAACGAUCAUGUCAAAAGUUAAAUGGUAACACCAACCCAAAAAGUACAUGAGGUUUGAGAGUGAAUCAUAAUAUGAACCUAAAAUGCUGCAAAAUAAUCCAAAACCACUCCACAAUGUAGCCAGGACAAACAAGAUGCUGCCCUGAUACAGUCCAUUUUUAGGACAUACUUCAAACUUCAGAAAAAUUUGAUGAUGGAAAGAAGAAACGAUUCAUAGCAUAGCAUGGGG
rnacentral:misc_RNA from 1 species